rnacentral:rRNA from 1 species
GGGUUGUGAGGUUAAGCGACUAAGCGUACACGGUGGAUGCCCUGGCAGUCAGAGGCGAUGAAGGACGUGCUAAUCUGCGAUAAGCGUCGGUAAGGUGAUAUGAACCGUUAUAACCGGCGAUUUCCGAAUGGGGAAACCCAGUGUGAUUCGUCACACUAUCAUUAACUGAAUCCAUAGGUUAAUGAGGCGAACCGGGGGAACUGAAACAUCUAAGUACCCCGAGGAAAAGAAAUCAACCGAGAUUCCCCCAGUAGCGGCGAGCGAACGGGGAGGAGCCCAGAGCCUGAAUCAGUGUGUGUGUUAGUGGAAGCGUCUGGAAAGGCGCGCGAUACAGGGUGACAGCCCCGUACACAAAAAUGCACAUGCUGUGAGCUCGAUGAGUAGGGCGGGACACGUGGUAUCCUGUCUGAAUAUGGGGGGACCAUCCUCCAAGGCUAAAUACUCCUGACUGACCGAUAGUGAACCAGUACCGUGAGGGAAAGGCGAAAAGAACCCCGGCGAGGGGAGUGAAAAAGAACCUGAAACCGUGUACGUACAAGCAGUGGGAGCACAGAGCAAUCUGUGUGACUGCGUACCUUUUGUAUAAUGGGUCAGCGACUUAUAUUCUGUAGCAAGGUUAACCGAAUAGGGGAGCCGAAGGGAAACCGAGUCUUAACUGGGCGUUAAGUUGCAGGGUAUAGACCCGAAACCCGGUGAUCUAGCCAUGGGCAGGUUGAAGGUUGGGUAACACUAACUGGAGGACCGAACCGACUAAUGUUGAAAAAUUAGCGGAUGACUUGUGGCUGGGGGUGAAAGGCCAAUCAAACCGGGAGAUAGCUGGUUCUCCCCGAAAGCUAUUUAGGUAGCGCCUCGUGAAUUCAUCUCCGGGGGUAGAGCACUGUUUCGGCAAGGGGGUCAUCCCGACUUACCAACCCGAUGCAAACUGCGAAUACCGGAGAAUGUUAUCACGGGAGACACACGGCGGGUGCUAACGUCCGUCGUGAAGAGGGAAACAACCCAGACCGCCAGCUAAGGUCCCAAAGUCAUGGUUAAGUGGGAAACGAUGUGGGAAGGCCCAGACAGCCAGGAUGUUGGCUUAGAAGCAGCCAUCAUUUAAAGAAAGCGUAAUAGCUCACUGGUCGAGUCGGCCUGCGCGGAAGAUGUAACGGGGCUAAACCAUGCACCGAAGCUGCGGCAGCGACGCUGAUGCGUUGUUGGGUAGGGGAGCGUUCUGUAAGCCUGUGAAGGUGUGCUGUGAGGCAUGCUGGAGGUAUCAGAAGUGCGAAUGCUGACAUAAGUAACGAUAAAGCGGGUGAAAAGCCCGCUCGCCGGAAGACCAAGGGUUCCUGUCCAACGUUAAUCGGGGCAGGGUGAGUCGACCCCUAAGGCGAGGCCGAAAGGCGUAGUCGAUGGGAAACAGGUUAAUAUUCCUGUACUUGGUGUUACUGCGAAGGGGGGACGGAGAAGGCUAUGUUGGCCGGGCGACGGUUGUCCCGGUUUAAGCGUGUAGGCUGGUUUUCCAGGCAAAUCCGGAAAACUAAGGCUGAGGCGUGAUGACGAGGCACUACGGUGCUGAAGCAACAAAUGCCCUGCUUCCAGGAAAAGCCUCUAAGCAUCAGGUAACAUCAAAUCGUACCCCAAACCGACACAGGUGGUCAGGUAGAGAAUACCAAGGCGCUUGAGAGAACUCGGGUGAAGGAACUAGGCAAAAUGGUGCCGUAACUUCGGGAGAAGGCACGCUGAUAUGUAGGUGAAGUCCCUCGCGGAUGGAGCUGAAAUCAGUCGAAGAUACCAGCUGGCUGCAACUGUUUAUUAAAAACACAGCACUGUGCAAACACGAAAGUGGACGUAUACGGUGUGACGCCUGCCCGGUGCCGGAAGGUUAAUUGAUGGGGUCAGCGCAAGCGAAGCUCUUGAUCGAAGCCCCGGUAAACGGCGGCCGUAACUAUAACGGUCCUAAGGUAGCGAAAUUCCUUGUCGGGUAAGUUCCGACCUGCACGAAUGGCGUAAUGAUGGCCAGGCUGUCUCCACCCGAGACUCAGUGAAAUUGAACUCGCUGUGAAGAUGCAGUGUACCCGCGGCAAGACGGAAAGACCCCGUGAACCUUUACUAUAGCUUGACACUGAACAUUGAGCCUUGAUGUGUAGGAUAGGUGGGAGGCUUUGAAGUGUGGACGCCAGUCUGCAUGGAGCCGACCUUGAAAUACCACCCUUUAAUGUUUGAUGUUCUAACGUUGACCCGUAAUCCGGGUUGCGGACAGUGUCUGGUGGGUAGUUUGACUGGGGCGGUCUCCUCCUAAAGAGUAACGGAGGAGCACGAAGGUUGGCUAAUCCUGGUCGGACAUCAGGAGGUUAGUGCAAUGGCAUAAGCCAGCUUGACUGCGAGCGUGACGGCGCGAGCAGGUGCGAAAGCAGGUCAUAGUGAUCCGGUGGUUCUGAAUGGAAGGGCCAUCGCUCAACGGAUAAAAGGUACUCCGGGGAUAACAGGCUGAUACCGCCCAAGAGUUCAUAUCGACGGCGGUGUUUGGCACCUCGAUGUCGGCUCAUCACAUCCUGGGGCUGAAGUAGGUCCCAAGGGUAUGGCUGUUCGCCAUUUAAAGUGGUACGCGAGCUGGGUUUAGAACGUCGUGAGACAGUUCGGUCCCUAUCUGCCGUGGGCGCUGGAGAACUGAGGGGGGCUGCUCCUAGUACGAGAGGACCGGAGUGGACGCAUCACUGGUGUUCGGGUUGUCAUGCCAAUGGCACUGCCCGGUAGCUAAAUGCGGAAGAGAUAAGUGCUGAAAGCAUCUAAGCACGAAACUUGCCCCGAGAUGAGUUCUCCCUGACUCCUUGAGAGUCCUGAAGGAACGUUGAAGACGACGCCGUUGAUAGGCCGGGUGUGUACGCGCAGCGAUGCGUUGAGCUAACCGGUACUAAUGAACCGUGAGGCUUAACCUUACAACGCCGCAGCUGUUUUG